CAGAAGUUACUGAAAAGUCUGCACAAGUUGAAGUAAUUACAGACGAAUCAUCGGUUCCUCUAGUUCAAGUUUCUCUUCAACAAGUACAAAAUAUUCCCGACAUAAUCGCUAGCUUUGAAAAUGAAAACAAAGCACAACAGACGGAAAAAGCUGGCAACGAACUCGCCGUUCAAGCUGGACCUGAUGUACCUGAAGGUUUCUUAGAGUAUGGACCCCCUGGAUUCGCUGAAUACGGACCCCCAAAAGGUGAACUAAAUGAAGAGGCUAAGGAGGAAAAGUCCGGGGAACAAUCUUUCGAAAUCACAAAUGAAACCAGGAGACGUCGUUUCUCACCGAAAUUUAAGUCAUCAAAGAAGCACUAAGGACUACUAACGAGGACUUCCACAGCAAAAAGACUACAAAACUUGGCAUGAUAGUUAAUUUAGAGUAACGCAAUAUAAAAUGUAAACUAUGAAAAAUAAUAAACGUGUAUAGAAUG